CGGCGGACGGGUGAGUAACGCGUGGGUGACCUGCCCCAUACCGGGGGAUAACAGCUGGAAACGGCUGCUAAUACCGCAUAAGCGCACAGAGCUGCAUGGCUCGGUGUGAAAAACUCCGGUGGUAUGGGAUGGGCCCGCGUCUGAUUAGGCAGUUGGCGGGGUAACGGCCCACCAAACCGACGAUCAGUAGCCGGCCUGAGAGGGCGACCGGCCACAUUGGGACUGAGACACGGUCCAA
rnacentral:rRNA from 1 species